rnacentral:rRNA from 1 species
GUUUGAUCCUGGCUCAGGACGAACGCUGGCGGCGUGCCUAAUACAUGCAAGUCGAACGAACUCUGGUAUUGAUUGGUGCUUGCAUCAUGAUUUACAUUUGAGUGAGUGGCGAACUGGUGAGUAACACGUGGGAAACCUGCCCAGAAGCGGGGGAUAACACCUGGAAACAGAUGCUAAUACCGCAUAACAACUUGGACCGCAUGGUCCGAGUUUGAAAGAUGGCUUCGGCUAUCACUUUUGGAUGGUCCCGCGGCGUAUUAGCUAGAUGGUGGGGUAACGGCUCACCAUGGCAAUGAUACGUAGCCGACCUGAGAGGGUAAUCGGCCACAUUGGGACUGAGACACGGCCCAAACUCCUACGGGAGGCAGCAGUAGGGAAUCUUCCACAAUGGACGAAAGUCUGAUGGAGCAACGCCGCGUGAGUGAAGAAGGGUUUCGGCUCGUAAAACUCUGUUGUUAAAGAAGAACAUAUCUGAGAGUAACUGUUCAGGUAUUGACGGUAUUUAACCAGAAAGCCACGGCUAACUACGUGCCAGCAGCCGCGGUAAUACGUAGGUGGCAAGCGUUGUCCGGAUUUAUUGGGCGUAAAGCGAGCGCAGGCGGUUUUUUAAGUCUGAUGUGAAAGCCUUCGGCUCAACCGAAGAAGUGCAUCGGAAACUGGGAAACUUGAGUGCAGAAGAGGACAGUGGAACUCCAUGUGUAGCGGUGAAAUGCGUAGAUAUAUGGAAGAACACCAGUGGCGAAGGCGGCUGUCUGGUCUGUAACUGACGCUGAGGCUCGAAAGUAUGGGUAGCAAACAGGAUUAGAUACCCUGGUAGUCCAUACCGUAAACGAUGAAUGCUAAGUGUUGGAGGGUUUCCGCCCUUCAGUGCUGCAGCUAACGCAUUAAGCAUUCCGCCUGGGGAGUACGGCCGCAAGGCUGAAACUCAAAGGAAUUGACGGGGGCCCGCACAAGCGGUGGAGCAUGUGGUUUAAUUCGAAGCUACGCGAAGAACCUUACCAGGUCUUGACAUACUAUGCAAAUCUAAGAGAUUAGACGUUCCCUUCGGGGACAUGGAUACAGGUGGUGCAUGGUUGUCGUCAGCUCGUGUCGUGAGAUGUUGGGUUAAGUCCCGCAACGAGCGCAACCCUUAUUAUCAGUUGCCAGCAUUAAGUUGGGCACUCUGGUGAGACUGCCGGUGACAAACCGGAGGAAGGUGGGGAUGACGUCAAAUCAUCAUGCCCCUUAUGACCUGGGCUACACACGUGCUACAAUGGAUGGUACAACGAGUUGCGAACUCGCGAGAGUAAGCUAAUCUCUUAAAGCCAUUCUCAGUUCGGAUUGUAGGCUGCAACUCGCCUACAUGAAGUCGGAAUCGCUAGUAAUCGCGGAUCAGCAUGCCGCGGUGAAUACGUUCCCGGGCCUUGUACACACCGCCCGUCACACCAUGAGAGUUUGUAACACCCAAAGUCGGUGGGGUAACCUUUUAGGAACCAGCCGCCUAAGGUGGGACAGAUGAUUAGGGUG